rnacentral:rRNA from 1 species
GGCUCAGAUUGAACGCUGGCGGCAGGCCUAACACAUGCAAGUCGAGCGGGGUUUCGGACCUAGCGGCGGACGGGUGAGUAAUGCGUAGGAAGCUACCCGAUAGAGGGGGAUACCAGUUGGAAACGACUGUUAAUACCGCAUAAUGUCUACGGACCAAAGUGUGGGACCUUCGGGCCACAUGCUACCGGAUGCGCCUACGUGGGAUUAGCUAGUUGGUGAGGUAAUGGCUCACCAAGGCGACGAUCUCUAGCUGGUUUGAGAGGAUGAUCAGCCACACUGGAACUGAGACACGGUCCAGACUCCUACGGGAGGCAGCAGUGGGGAAUAUUGGACAAUGGGCGCAAGCCUGAUCCAGCCAUGCCGCGUGUGAAGAAGGCCUUCGGGUUGUAAAGCACUUUCAGCGAGGAGGAAGAGUUGUGUGUUAAUAGUACACAGCUUUGACGUUACUCGCAGAAGAAGCACCGGCUAACUCUGUG